rnacentral:rRNA from 1 species
GGGUGUGAUCAUACCAACGUUAAUGCACCAGAUCCCAUCAGAACUCCGCAGUUAAGCGCGCUUGGGCUAGAGUAGUACUUGGGUGGGUGAUCUCCCGGGAAGUCCUAGUGGUGCACCCU